AAACGUUUGAAUCAAGGCUACCUUAUUAGAUGAGGAUCCUUUGCCUGA
rnacentral:sRNA from 1 species